UCCACCUGUCUGUGUGUGGAGGACACCACCUCUUCCAAUCUUGGGGGUCAGAGUUCAAAGUUAGGGCUUAGUGUUAGGGUUUAGUUUGAGGGCUUGGAGCUGGUCAGGUAGGGCUGCUUUCACCACUAACUUCUUCACUUGCUUUAAAAAUUGUUUGGACGGCCGUCCCAAAAUGUGCACUUUAUUUUUUUUAACAGAAAUUGUACGAAAUGAAAUGUAUGAUUGCUUUUUAAAAUGCAUAUUUGUGUUUUUAAAAUAAAAACAGCCUCGUGUGUGUGCCCUAACUAGAUGUUCACCAACUACCACUGUUGCCAGACCAGCCAAUCUACAGCUGUGUUACCAGACCAGUCGACCACUGCUUUACCAGACCAGGGUGGUGACGAGAGCUGAUGCAGGAGCUGUAUCUGACGCUGUGGAGAUCCUGAGUUUGGUGUGGGGGAGACAUCCUUGAGCCGCGGCCUCCCUGUAUCCUGACGUCCUUCUUGCCAGUCUCCUCACAGGAUUCAUCUGAUCAUCCUGGAGCUUCUUCAGAAGGACCAACGAGUGAAGAGCCAGCUGGAGUCAUCGUUGGACUGCAGAAUCAUCUCUUCCAUGCGCACACACCUGUCUGUGUGUGGAGGACACCACCUCUUCCAAUCUAUUCUCUCUCCUCCACCUGUCUGUGUGU